rnacentral:rRNA from 1 species
AUUGAACGCUGGCGGCAGGCCUAACACAUGCAAGUCGGACGAGUGGCGGACGGGUGAGUAAUGUCUGGGAACGUGCCCGAUGGAGGGGGAUAACUAUUGGAAACGGUAGCUAAUACCGCAUACCAUCGGAUGUGCCCAGAUGGGAUUAGCUAGUAGGUGGGGUAACGGCUCACCUAGGCGACGAUCCUUAGCUGGUCUGAGAGGAUGAACAGCCAAACUGGAACUGAGACACGGUCCAGAUUCCGACGGGAGGCAGCAGUGGGGAAUAUUGCACAAUGGGCGCAAGCCUGAUGCAGCCAUGCCGCGUGGAUGAAGAAGGCCUUCGGGUUGUAAAGGACUUUCAGCGGGGAGGCGUUACUCGAAGAAGAAGCACCGGCUAACUCCGUGCCAGCAGCCGCGGUAAUAC